UCAUUUAGAAGCCGAAAAUCCAACUUUUGACAGGAGUUUCAGGAACGAGAUCAAGUUUCUAUCAGAAAUACGACAUCGAAACAUUGUGAAGCUUCACGGGUUUUGUCUACACCGACGAUCCAUGUUUUUGAUCUAUGAAUACAUGGAAAAAGGGAGUUUGUUCUGCAACCUAAGGGAUGAAGUGAAUGCUGUGGAAAUGGAUUGGACGAAAAGAGUAGAGAUCAUCAAAGGCAUAGCACAUGCUUUGUCUUACUUGCACCAUGAUUGCUGCCCUCCGAUAGUUCAUCGAGACAUAUCAAGUAACAAUGUUCUUUUAAACUCAAGUUUUGAGGCCUUUGUGGCCGACUUUGGAACAGCUAGAAUGUUGGAUCUUGAUUCAUCUUAUCGGACCAUUAUUGUCGGAACUUGUGGCUGCGUAGCUCCAGGUGGCGUUUUCUUUUUUUACUUGAUUUACUGACCUUUUCUCUGAACAUAUAAUUGAAUUUCUUCUUACUAAUUUGUGUAUGUAGAACUUGCUUAUACAAUGAUUGUCACCGAAAAAUGCGAUGUUUAUAGUUUUGGAGUGGUAGCACUGGAAAUAUUGAUGGGAAAGCAUCCUGAAGAAAUGUUAUCAUGGUUGUCAUCACCAACUUCUUUGGUAAACAUGAAGCUGAUUGAUGUGUUAGACAACCGUUUACCACUUCCAACAAGCCAACUAGUUACACAAAAUCUUGUUCAUGUUGCUACACUGGCUUUCGCUUGCUUAAAUCCACAACCGAAGUCCAGACCAACAAUGAAGGAAGUGUGUGAAGAGUUCCUUUCUCGCCAUACAUCCUUGGGAAUUCCUCUUCGGAUGAUCUCUUUGUUACAACUCAUGAACCGUGAAAUGCAUAUUGGAGGCAAAACUAAAACUUGUGGUGUUUGAAGUCCAUGCGCUUUUUGAUUAGAUACUGUUUAUCAUACUCUGAUAACUUGUUUGUAAACCAUCUCUGGUUUUAUAUAUGAUGGAAUGAAUUGCAAUGUUUAAUAAACCUGUUUAUUCGGUUGCUUUAGAAGACAUAAAUUCUGCAAUUUGAUCCAAAUAUUAAGACAUCAUCGCUGGCUGCUUCCUUGAAUUUUGUGCUUCUUUCAAACCAACUCAAAGAUAAAUAACAUAAAAGUAAAUUAAGGGUGAAUUUAUCAACCACUGCACAAGUAGUGUGUAUUUCUUUUGUUAUGCAUAUAAGCACAACUCCUCAUAUAUGAAUUAUCUACCAAAUACUCACGAAAGGCUUUUCAGAAAAUAGUAGUUAGUAAAGCCAUCCAGGAGGGAAUAUGCUACUAACGUGGAACGGGCAAAAUUACAUGGUAAAUAUGUCUUCAUGAGACUGCUGUAUUUCUUUAAGAACCAAAAGCACCAUAAGUGAAGGCAAAAUAGUUUAUUGUCUCAACUCUUUAUAUCCCCAUACCUCAUUGUGCAAUGAAUAAAGUACAUCAAGCAGGGAUUUGUCCCUGGCCAUAAAUAUAUCGCACUGGUCUUUGCUUUAUACAAAUUUCUUGAAACACAACUCUGAAAUUUUAAUAUUUGGAACCCCUAAGCUACCUGAAAUAACUGCAAGUUACCAUGACUAAAGUGCAUACAUACAUAUAUGAAAGUUUCUCAAGCAAUGAUAAGAUAAUUAAUUGCUAAAAAUCUUUAUUGAUUUUGUGGAGAGACAAUCAGACAAGUCAUGUCAGAUUAAUGAUGGGACAAAAAGGUUUUCUGGACUUUUAAAAGUUAUGAAUGCAUCUAUCAGGCUCAAGCAUUUCCAACAUCUAAUUUAUGGCUUACAUCUCAAAGCAAUGAAUGCAAAGCAUCAGGCUUAAAGAUCAUAAUAUGCACAAAAAAUGUAGUGGCCCUACAAGGUUUGCAUCAUGUCAUGCAUGCAUAGAUACAUUACAUUACUACAAGCAAAUUUACAGCUUUAUUGGUCUACAACACGGUAGCAUAAUUAGAAACUAUCAAACAUGUCGGAGCGUGCAUGUCUGAAUCUACAAAGGCAAAAAUAUACAGGUUUCUUCUCACUGCAGUAUAGUAUAAACAAACUUCUAUUGCCUGUAAAGGAUGGAAGAUGCUAACUCAAGCCUUACAACAGUGCAUACAUCACAAGAUGCAUGCGAGCCAAUGGUGCUUCAAGAGACAUGAAAAUUUACACAGUUAGAAUCUUCACGUUUACCCCGAAAAUUCAGACUUCAAACAAUAGAAAAUGGUAGACGAACUAGCUUUUAUAGUGUCAAACAUGCUGCAUUACAACAAAAUAUUCAGAUUGUUCUUCUCCGGUAAAACAAAAGGUUAACAUUUAGGGAUUAAAACAAACGGAAAAUGAAAAAAUAAUUGGAAACAGACUAUUAAACAAAAUAAUUUCCAAUAUAUAUAUGCUAAAUAAAAACCCAAAAUGGCAAUCGGUCUUGAAUCCCAAUCACUUAACAAUUCAAGAAACAAAUUCCAAUUCCAAAAAAUCCCAGUCUCUUAACAAAACAAAAACCAAAUAUACCAAAUACCCUUUCCCUUACACACAAAAGCUAAUUCAAGAGAUUACCAAAAAAAACACUAAUUCAAGAACCAAGCUUGAAAAACAACCAAAACCCCCAAUUAAAAUCUUGGUCAGCUUACCCUGAAAAAUCACAUAGAAAGAGAAAAAGAGAAACUCACAUGUGGCCAUGGAGAAAGCAACGAAUUUACAGAGUAACCAAAAUACAAUAACUUUGAAGAACAAAAAUAAUCAGGGAAAUAACAAAAGAGAAAAGCAAUAAGUUAAACCCCAUGAAGGAAAUUCCAACUGCUCAUUUACAGAGUAAUCAAAAUAAAAUAUAGUGAUAUAACUUGAUAGGAUUGGAAAGCUAGAUUUUGAAGUUUCUUCAAAAUGCAGACUUGGUAAGGACGACGAGAUAACAAGACUCGGAUUCGGAGAUGAGGCCAACGAAUAGAGAUGAGGAGGAGAGGCGGAGGCUGAUGGACAAAGAGGAAGGAGAACGACUGUUGUGAUGAGAGUGGAGGAAAAUGGAAAAUGUCUUACCGAAAUAAAAUUGGUAAGAAGUUUUCCAUAAAAGGCCGUUUCAUUUACCCUUGGUUUAGAAAAUGUUUUCUGAAGUAAUUUAUUUUUCAUCAAACAAAUACAGUAAAAUAAAAAAAAAUAUUUUACGGAAAAUAUUUUACUAAUAAAUAAACAGAGCCUAAGUAUUGCAUUGCAAAAGAUAUAAUAUCACCCAUAUCAACAAUAUAAACGGACAGACAUAUUAAAAUUUAAAUUUAAAUUCAUAAAAAUUUAUGUACUUAUAUUCAUGCAUUUAUUCAAACACAAGAAAGAUAUAUAAAUUUACAAGAACCAACACGAUGUCAAAUCAAUAUAAUUCCUUCCUUCAAUACAAACAUCGUGUGACAUCAACCAACAUAAAGAAGAUAACAAAAAGUAUGGCCUAGUUUCAGCACUCUUUUAAGGCAGUUACUAAAAGUUGUUUUCAACCAAGUUAAAAAGCAUAUCAAGAAAUCAAGUUAAGGAGGACUUCGAAUGAAAGUUGACAAGAAAUUUUGCAGAGAUGGAUGUACUAUCCACGAUCCGUUCUAACAAUUUGAUCUUUAGUCUUACCUUCUAUUAUAAGAAUGAGUAGCCUUUGUUUCUGGCAAUUUUUGAUUGGUUCCAAUACUCACUAAUAAGAAAGAUUUUUAUUUUCUGAAUACGUAUAUAACCUGAAUCCAUUCUAUAUCAACAACAACGAUAAUACACAUGAUGGAGUGAUAGAUUACAAGUUUCCAUACAAGAUUUCACACAUACAAUAAAAGAAAAAUAAGUGAAUUAAUUCCAUCUAAAAUGAAAUUAAAGAAAGCCAAAACUAAUGCAGUAGAACAGAUAAUUGAGAAUGUAGAAUUUUCUUAUAUUAGUUCCAUCUGUUUAAAAAAAAAAAGAUUGCAAGGUAAAUCAGUAGUAAGAAAGAAAAAUAUGGAAUACCCACAAAGGGAUUGCGAACAAACAAGCCGAUUUAGAUCAAAAAAAUCAGAUUGAGAAACCAAUUAUUCAAGAACCGUGAAAGAACUGGAAAAUAUAAUGGUUAGGAACAAAAACGAUUACCCUCUUUUUAUUUGUCAACAACCACUUGAUUUUAAGUCUUUGAACAUAAAUUUAUCGACAAAGAAGACAUACUUGGACCCUCCAUUGAAUCCAUCUUUUGUUUUUCUAUGUUGAAUAAAAAAUUCAAUCGAAACACACAAUCUGAUUUCUACUAUUUUGAUUCAAUACAGAUCAUAAUAGUUUUUUCAGUCAAAUGAAAAAGAAAACUAUUUUUCCUAUUUUAUGGAAAAUUAUCCUUUUUUGUAUAAUUAUAGGUGUUUCAUCUAUUUUAUGGUCCUUACAGUGCUGACACGACCGUUAACAACAUUAACGUGGCGCUUUAUGUCAGCAAUAGUUAGCUACAAUGUCAGCAAAAAUAAAAAAAAUAAAAAUUAAAAGGAAUAUUUAAAUUUAUUUUACUAGAAUGAACCUAAACAUAUAGUUGUCCAAGUUCAUUCGUUUCAAAACUUAAAUUUUUUUUAAAUUUAAAAAAAUUAAGUUUUUUAUAAAUGUGUACAACACUAUUAAAAUUUAAUAAAAAUAUUUAAAACUUAAGUCCCUAAUGAAUAUGUCCAAAUUCAUUCAAGAUUAGUUUCAAAUAUACUAAAAUUAAUUUUCUUUAAAAAUUGAUAUGUGUGUCAAUAUUUUUCUAUUGCUACCUCUUAGGAUGAAUAAUAUAUAUAUAUAUAUAUAUCAAUUUAAAGAAUUUAAAUUUUAUUAAUCAUACUUCUAAAGAUUUUUUAAAUGUAUGAAUAUAUCCAAUUAAAACAGUGUAUCUAUUAUUUCAUUACAUGUGUAGCCUAAAAGGUUUAAAAAAUUAGAUAUAUUCAUACAUUUAAAACAACUUUACACAAACAAUUAAUAAUAUUUAUUUUUAUUUAUUUUCUGAAAUAUAUUUUUUUUAAUUUUUAUACAUUCUAAAAUGUACCAAUGGAAUUAGAACAUUGAUACACGUAUCAAUUUUUUUAAAGAAGAUUAAUUUUUAAUAUUUUUUAAACUUUGUACAAUUUAGAAAAACUUGAAUGAAUUUAGACAUAGAAUUAACUUGUAAUUGGUUUUUAUUAAUUUUUAUUUUUUUAAUUUAUUUAAUAUUUUAUAAAUUUUAAUAAUAUUUUAAAAUUUUAUAAAAUUUUAAAAAACAUUAUUUUUUAAAUAUUAUUUUUAAUUUAAAAAUUUUUUAAGCUUCGAAACAAAUGAACUUGGUACUGCGACAUCAACAACUAUUCCUUUUAAAAAUUUUAAAUAUUCCAUUUAAUUUUUUUUAUUUUUGUUGACAUGGCAGUUGACGUGGUAUUGCCACAUAAGCAACUAUCGCUAACAUGAAGCACCACGUUAACGCUGUUAAUGGCCACGUCAACGUUGUAACGGUCAAUAUUAGUCAAAGGGCCUAUUUGGCCAAUUUUGUUAGUUCAUGGGCUCAAUUGGGUGCAAAAAGUUUGCAAGGGCUUAAUUGAUUUUUUUGAAAAAGUUUGAGGACCAAAAAUACCAUUAAACCCUUCUUUAACUAUUGAUAUUUCUUUUUCUAAGUAUCGGUCAACAUUAGUUAAAGGACUUAUUUUGUCAGUUUUGUUAGUUUAAGGGCUCAGUUGGGUGCAAAAAGUUUGCAGGGGCUUAAUUAUUUUUUCGAAAAAGUUCGACAAUCAAAAAUACCUUUAAGCCCUAGUUUAACUAUUGAUAUGUCUUUUUUAAUUAAUUUUGCAUUCGUGCAUAGUAUAGGCACACGAUGUAUGGGGUAUUUCCACGUAUACAUGUAAAGUGUAUUUUGAUGCCACGGCGAAAUUAGAUGAAAAUGUGAUUAUUAAGGUAGUAAUGUAACCUUCUAGUGUCACGGGCCUCAGUGCAAAGCCCGUGACCAUGGCACAAGAUGCGCCCCAUGGAGGUCUAUCAAUAAGAUGAGGAACAUUUAGCCCACAAGAGCUGGCCCGAUUCAGAUAACUAUUGGAGAAGCCUAUCAGAUUGAAGCCUGGUUGGCCCAAUGAUGAAAACAUGGCAACUUAGGCUAAUAUGGUAACUAAUCUUAGAAGAUAGAGAUAAUCAUAUCUUGUAAAGAUUAGAUUUGAUUUGAUAUAGCAUAUCUUGUAAAAUCCCUAAAAUUAAGGGAUAUGGUUAAUCUUGUCCGUCGAUGUAAAUGUAUCUUGACAGUCGAUUUUGGGGGAGCUCAACUAUAAAUAGAGAGCCUCCCCCUCAUUUGUACUCAUUCCAUUGUAUUCUGAAUUCUUAAGAGUAAUAGAGUUCUGAGAGCAUUUACUCAAACACCUUGUGUGCAUUCUUUUUUUUGGCUUUCUAUUGUUCUUUGACUUAGCUUCUUUUGGCCUAAAUCGUUUCCGCUCUUCAAUUGGUGCCUUGGAGGAGUUCUUAAGGAAUCCUCAUUUGAGUUAAGGCUGACUUAGGCGAGUUUGGACGAACGGAUCACCUAAGGCCACACGGGUUGCGAGACGAAAACUCUAGCCCCGUGACAAGUGGUAUUAGAGCAAGGUUUGAACCAAGUAAUAUCUGAGUUGUUGGUUCAAAGGCACUGUUGGGAUGUCGAAAGAAGUUGUUGGUCAGAAUGAGCCAAUGGAGACCCGAGGAAGGGCCAGAAAUGUGAGUCGAUCAAGGGACUUAUUGUCAGCUUUAGAGGAUCGAGUUGUCACUCUCGAAGAGUCCAUGGGGGACGUCAAGGAAAGGAUCGACGAUGUCGAUGAUAGACACAAUGAUGGGUUACGAACAUUACAGGAACAACUCAGGGAAUUUGUGUGGGACACUAUCGGUUCCUCUGAGAAUAAGCUGGCUGAAAAGAACGAUGCUCUCGAGGCUAUGGUGACAGCCUUGAAGGAGGAGAUCAAUGAGCUUAAGAGGGAGCUCAAGAUUUUCAAGGCUGCCAUAGGGAAUGGAAUGUUGGUUUUAAAUCUGAAGCCACAAGCAAUGGAUAUGCCCAAGCCGAAGGCGUUUAAAGGGGCAAGGUCUGCAAGUGAAGUGGACAACUUUUGUUGGGCCAUGGAGCAAUACUUUUGUGCGAUGAACAUCGAAGAUGAUGUCACAAAGGUAAACACUGUUGCUAUGUAUUUCACUGAUGUUGCUUUGUUAUGGUGGCGACGUAGGUCCACUGAUGUGAGACGUAGUGGGACCGAGAUUGGGACUUGGAAGGAGUUCCAAAGUGAAUUUAAAGUACAGUUUUACCCCGAGUAUGCCGAGGACGAAGCUCGAGCAAAGUUGCGACGGCUAAUGCAACGAGGCACGGUUAAGGAGUAUGUACAGGAGUUCAGUAAACUCAUGCUCCAAAUCUCUGAUUUGAGCGAGAAGGAAGCAUUUUUCUCCUUUACAGAUGGGCUGAAACCAUGGGCGAAGCAAGAAUUGCACCGUCGAGGAAUUUAGGAACUUACCAAUGCCAUAAUGGUAGCGGAGUCCAUAGUGGAACUUGCUCCGAGAAGGGACAGGUUUGAAUCUUCCAAGCCCAGCAGGAGGGGCAAUGGUGGGUAUCAUGAGGAGGAUGAAGAGGGACAAAGCUAUGAUGGCAACGCAAGUAGUAGCGAUGGUGAUGAUAGGAAACCACAAGUUGGGAAGAAGAAACCCAAGAGGAAAAGAGACAAGCUGAAAUGCUUUCUCUGCGACGGUCCACACAUGUUGAAGAAUGUCCAAAAAAAUCCGCGCUUAAGGAGAAGCCGGUGGGAAAGGCCUUGGUACUUGGUUCAAGUGCAAGGGGUGUCGAAGCCAAGGAGGCCGAAAGCGAGAAAAAGCCAGUGGAGUUCUUCUUGCGUCAUGGUCUGUAUAGGUUGCGGAAGUGUCCAAGGAAGUCUAUCAUCGAUGGGAAUGAUGGAGUAGACAAAGAGCCCAAGAAGCUUGGUUCGAGCAAGGGAAAAGCCGAAGCCAAGAGGGCAAAGAGGAGCAAAAAGAAGCGAGUAAAGUGCUUCUUGUGCCGUGGUUCGCAUGAGAUACAGAACUAUCCAAAGCAAGCCAGAGUAAAAAGAAAGGCAACGUCUGAACUUGGUGAGUCAUCAGAGGGACUUCCACUUAAGGAAGAGGUGAGUUUGUCAUCGGACUUAGAGGAAAGAGUUACGAUGAAAACAGUGAAGUUGGGACCAAUGAGGCUCAAGUUGAGUAAAGCGUCGGAGUUGGCCGAGUCAUCGACUAGGCUUCCACCUAUGGGAGAGGUGGGUGGUGCAUCAGACUUCAAGGGAAAAGAAGUGAUGCAUGUGGGACAGUUGACCAGAGUAAAUACGAAGGUACAUUUCGAACACUGUGAUAGUGUUUUGCAUUCUAACUUGUUGACUUGGCAAGAACGUAGGGGCCCUUUCGAAGUUCUUGAGCAGAGAGGCCGAGAGACUGUGGGUAAAGCGAAGCCAAGUGUGGUGAAUCAAGAGGAUUCUGUUCGAGCAAAGUUAGAAUGUGGACAAGAGAGUGACAUAACUUCUUGUCAUCGAGAUGCACAAACGAGUAGGACGGUUCGAGUGAAGAAGUGACGUAAGCCGAAGCAAAAGUCCCGAAAGAAGGAAAAGGCUAAGGCGUUGAGACGAGAUCGAGGCGAAUCAAGCCAGUGCCAUUCGGAAGUCGCAACAAGGACGUUGCGAGAAUGGGUGGGGGAGAAUGUCACGGGCCGCAGUGCAAAGCCCGUGACCAUGGCACAAGAUGCACCCUAUGGAGGUCUAUCGAUAAGAUGAGGAACAUUUAGCCCACGAGAGCUGGCCCGAUUCAGAGAACUAUUGGAGAAGCCUAUCAGAUUGAAGCCUGGUUGGCCCAAUGAUGAAAACAUGGCAACUUAGGCUAAUAUGGUAACUAAUCUUAGAAGAUAGAGAGAAUCAUAUCUUGUAAAGAUUAGAUUAGAUUUGAUAUAGCAUAUCUUGUAAAAUCCCUAAAAUUAAGGGAUAUGGUUAAUCUCGUCCGUCGAUGUAAAUGAAUCUUGACCGUCGGUUUUGGGGGAGCUCAACUAUAAAUAGAGAGCCUCCCCCUCAUUUGUACUCAUUCCAUUGUAUUCUGAAUUCUUAAGAGUAAUAGAGUUCUGAGAGCAUUUACUCAAACACCUUGUGUGCAUUCUUUUCUGUGGCUUUCUGUUGUUCUUUGGCGUAGCUUCUUUUGGCCUAAAUCGUUUCUGCUCUUCAAUUGGUGCCUUGGAGGAGUUCUUAAGGAAUCCUCAUUUGAGUUAAGGCUGACUUAGGCGAGUUUGGACGAACGGAUCACCUAAGGCCGCACGGGUUGCGAAACAAAAACUCUAGCCCCGUAACACUAGUAAACGUAAAGAAUUAUAAUUUUUCUAGAUGCAUUUGGCUAGUAGAGUAUAAUUAUAUUGUAAUUCUUUGUGCCUUGUUUAGUAAUAUAAAUUGUAAUUGCACAUUUACAAAUUUUAAAUUGUUUAAAAAGUAUUAAUUACUAUAAAUAGUUAUCAGUAAUACCUGAGAAAAAAUUUUAAACAAGUGACAUAAAUUAAAAUCAAAUCAUGUUCUGUUAGUCCAAGAAAGUAACCGACAACACGAUUGCCGAUAAAAAAGAACAAGAAAACUAAACAUCAUAUGCAACUUUAUUAUUGCUCUAGCAUUCCAUGUUUGUUGGGUUAUUCCUUUUCUAACAUUUAACAUAUACUUCUUAUCAUCAUCUAUUAGUUCUUGACCAAUUUCUUCAUUGUUGAUACAAGGUACAACAAUGGAGGGGAGUAAGGAGGAUGUAAGGUGGAGUGAGUGGUGGAAAAGUAUUAAUAAGAGAGGUUCUCUUGUCCAUUAGCAUGACAUGGCAGGAUAAAUGUUCAGUCCCACCAAAUGUGUAAAGGAUAUUCAUGAACAUAAAGGAUAUUCAUGAUGGGGGCACGUUAUGUUACUCAUUCGAUCAGUACAAGGUUAAUACGCCCAUGCAAGUCCUAAUGGCCUCAAGGAUUUGUUCACACCAAAAAAAAAAGGGUGCUAGCCUUUCUAAAGGGUUGGUGCUCCUUUGAUCUUAGUGGAUGGUUCAGCGAGACAUCUUCUUAGGCAGACUCAAUGAGAGGGUUAAUGUUGUCUAUACAGUUGACACGUGUCCAUGUGGCGGGGGUAUAAAAUUCAUCAUCUAAAUCAAAUUUUGAAUAUGCAUAAUUAAGAUUAUCCAGAUCAUUUUUUUUAUCUGUAUCAUUAAGACUAUCAAGAUCUAUUUUUUUUCCAUGUAUUGAUUGAAAGCAUUGAUAAUUCCAAUUCCACCUAUAAAUGGAAUUGUGAAGUAUACAACAAGUUCGAACGAUUGAACAUUGUUUUUUAGACUAUAUUGAUGUGGUUUGUUAAUAUGGGAAAUAUUUUUUUAGAACAAGAAAUAUCCUCUCAACCACAUUUCAAAGCUUUGAAUAAAGAGUUUGCGAGCCUUGUUUGGUACUUGUGUCUAGCUGUGUUCGUUCAAAUGAUAUCGUACCCCAUAAUAUACUGCAAGAAAACCUUUUGCAAUUGCAUAAUCAACAUCUACCACAUAAUAUUUCCUAAAAACAUGUAACAAUUUAAAUAAUUUGUGAGACAAAUAAAAUAACAGCAAGGUGAUGAUAAUAUUAAUGUAUUUAUGAAAUACAAUUUUGAUCUAUUUUCUCUCCCAAACAUCAUUCUUAGCAUUCUAGUAUUUGAGGCACAAAUCAACUUUAAAAUCCUUCAAUUAUAAUAGUUUUUAUAAAUCCAAUUUGCGGUUUACUAUGUGUUCAAAUAAUAAACCAAAUUAGAUAAAAUAAAUAAUAUAAAUUUUCUAAUAUAACAUUUAUAAACAAUGUUUUCUAUAAAGUGUUGAAUAGCUUUUAUGGUGCUUAUGUUAAAGUGCUCAAAUAUGUGGCCAUACAAGAAUAGUAUAAAAAUUAUAAUACAUGCUUUAUAAGCACAAUUUGUUAGGUUAAAAUUUGUUUUAUAAAACAUAGGAGUUAAGUGAGAUGAAAAGGGUUUCUCCUACCUCAAUCAGUAAUUGAGGGUUUGAUACUGUAUUGGAGUUGGUGGUUAUGGUAGUGUUUACAAAGCAAAACUCCCUUGUGGUAAAGUAGUUGCUUUGAAGAAACUUCAUCAUUUAGAAGCCGAAAAUCCAACUUUUGACAAGAGUUUCAGGAACGAGAUCAAGUUUCUAUCAGAAAUACGACAUCGAAACAUAGUGAAGCUUCACGGGUUUUGUCUACACCGACGAUCCAUGUUUUUGAUCUAUGAAUACAUGGAAAAAGGGAGUUUGUUCUGCAACCUAAGGGAUGAAGUGAACGCUGUGGACAUGGAUUGGACGAAAAGAGUAGAGAUCAUCAAAGGCAUAGCACAUGCUUUGUCUUACUUGCACCAUGAUUGCUGCCCUCCGAUAGUUCAUCGAGACAUAUCAAGUAACAAUGUUCUUUUAAACUCAAGUUUUGAGGCCUUUGUGGCCGACUUUGGAACAGCUAGAAUGUUGGAUCUUGAUUCAUCCAAUAAGACCAUUAUUGUCGGAACUUAUGGCUACGUAGCUCCAGGUGGCGUUUUCUUUUUUACUUGAUUUACUGACCUUUUCUCUGAACAUAUAGUUGAAUUUCUUCUUACUAAUUUGUGUAUGUAGAACUUGCUUAUACAAUGAUUGUCACCGAAAAAUGCGAUGUUUAUAGUUUUGGAGUGGUAGCACUGGAAACGUUAAUGGGAAAGCAUCCUGAAGAAGUGUUAUCAUGGUUGUCAUCACCAAGUUCCUUGGUAAACAUGAAGCUGGUUGAUGUGUUAGACAACCGUUUACCACUUCCAACAAGCCAACUAGUUACACAAAAUCUUGUUUAUGUUGCUACACUGGCAUUCGCUUGCUUAAAUCCACAACCGAAGCCCCGACCAACAAUGAAAGAAGUGUGUGAAGAGUUCCUUUCUCGCCAUACAUCCUUGGGAAUUCCUCUUCGGAUGAUCUCUUUGUUACAACUCAUGAACCGUGAAAUGCAUAUUGGAGGCAAAACUAAAACUUGUGAUGUUUAAAGUCCAUGAGCUUGUUGAUUAGAUAUUGUUUAUCAUGCUCUGAUAAUUUGUUUGUAAACCAUCUCUGGUUUUAUAUAUGAUGGAAUGAAUUGCAAUGUUUAAUAAACCUGUUUAUUCGGUUGCUUUAGAAGACAUAAAUUCUGCAAUUUGAUCCAAAUAUUAAGACAUCAUCGCUGGCUGCUUCCUUGAAUUUUGUGCUUCUUUCAAACCAACUCAAAGAUAAAUAACAUAAAAGUAAAUUAAGGGUGAAUCAAAGCAACAAAAUGCAAUCAAUACAUACAUCAAGAAUUCACCUCAACUAUCUAUAAUUCAUGAAACAAUCUCUCAACUUAUAAAAUGUAAGUGAGAUUCCACAGACCUGAUAUCCAAACUCAAAAGCAAUAAAAGGCGUCAUCAGAACCCUGGCAAGUGAAGACGACAUUCUUUUCAAGCAAGGUAGCGAUACAACUUCCUGUCACCUUUAUCCCUCUACAGGAACUCACAUUAGUAUACAUUUUUAUUUAACAUAUUAUAUAAAUUACACUUUAUAAAUCAAAAAAACAAAUGAAACUCUGAGUAUUACAUAUAUAAUAAUAUACUGCAUAUUUCCUAAAAAAUGAUAAUAUACCGCACAUGUUACAAUGCAUUUUCAAAAAAAAGAAAAAGAAAUGUGACCAUAAUAUAUAAUUUAUAUUACAAACAAAGGUACUCAUAUUUUAUAGUUCAUCAUUUUUAAUGUUUGGGACUGUAGUCGGCCAUCACGAUUUGGUUGGUAACAAAUGAAUAUAUUAUGGAUAAACUAUUAUAGAGUUUACAAAAUUACUGCUUUUUAGUCACUCGAUUAUAAAAAGUUAUAAAAUAGCCAUUUAAUUAUUAUUAAAUUACAUUUUUGAUUAAAUGCAAAAAGUACAUAUCUUAUGUAAUUUAAUUGGUCAAAUUAUGAGAAUGAACCAUUGAUUUUCUCCAUGUUUAUAUUAAAUUUUAUACAGGGGUGCAAUUUGGGGUCAAAAGAGAAAAAGGAGAAGCAAUUGGGCUAGAUUGAAGAAAGGAGCAAAGAAGGCGAGCCAAAACAGAAUUUUUCCAAGUUGUAAUUAGCUGAAAUUUUAUUUUGACUUAGUGGGGGAUUAUGUAGAGAUUUUGAUAUCGUAGGAAUAUGUUUUUUUCCUUGAUUUUCUAUGGCUAGUGGCCUUUAAUUUGGCAAAUUUGUUCAAAGCCACUAGUAUAAAUAGAGGGCUACUAUGUUCAUUUAAUCAUCAAGUUUUUCAAUCAAGUUUUUAAUCAAGCUUUUAUCUUUUGAAUUCAAUCUUCUUUCCUUUUUGCAAAUUUAUUUGCUGACAUUAAUUCCUUAUAUUUUUCCAUUUAUUAGUUUCCAGCUUUGGAACUACUGCACCCAAACCUUGCCUCACCCACAUACAUCCACUUACAUUUCUUUUUCAUUUAUCCAACCCUCUCCAAAUAUGCCCAACUCCAACAUGCCCCAAACCUAGUCAACUAAACCCAUUUCAGCUUUAGGUCGGUGUUAACUUCGUCUAGACCGGUGAGUUAUGAACCCGAGCAAUUUAAAUCCUGAAUUCUAGUAUUUAUUAUUUCUCUGGAUUAAGAGUAUGAUUUCAUCAACUCACAAAGUCAAAUCAACACUAAGUCAAAAAAGACGUCGUUUGAGUUAGUGUGGUUAGACGUACAAUUGGGAUUCCGAAAGGAUCGAUUGUCUAAUCAGUUUUCCGUGAACACAUUGGCGUGCCAAGUGGGGAUUCUUGUUUGGUUCCGUCAAGGGAAGUAGUAAUCGGAUUUAAAUGUCCCACGCGAUUGAGGGCAUUGGUUCGUGCUAAGCUCUUCUAGAACGCAAAGAUGUAGGAGUUCUAAAUCACGAACGUUUUGUAGGUUGUUUGAUCGGCAAUGGUUAGUUAUAGGACAUUUCAUAACUAAUUUACACAAGGAAGAGUUGGUGUCCGAGGUGUCUUUGGUAGCUAUAACUAGCUUAUUGGAAAAGAGAAGUUCAUCUAAUUUCGAGGAUCGGUUCAAAGACGGAAAAACUCAUGCCUGAAGCUGAGCUAAAUUUAAUUGAUUUUUCUUCAAAUUUACUUAACUGUUUUUAUUAUUUAAUUGUUUCCAGCUUUUACUUUUUACGCAUUUUUUCCCCUGUUUAUUUCAGGUUUCAAAUUUUAUCCCCCCAAAUUUCUUGGGCAUGACAACUUCCCAAACAUAAAUAUGGUCGAGAGAGAGAAACAAUUUUCAGUAAUCUAGUCUCUAAGGGAUUGAUCCUACUCCCUAUAUUGCUCAAAUUUGCAAAUUAGGUGUAGGAUUUUAUUGGUGGAAUCAACAACCAUCAGUUUUGGCGCCGUUCCCGGGGACUGGCAACACUCACAAUUGUUUAAAUCGUCUUCAUGACUAAAUCUUCAUCCAGAGAUCUCGAAUACGACCCAGAGAUUUGAGAAAUCAAAAUGAGCACGACGAAAAAAGACAGAAGCUCUUAAACAUGCAAGUAAAGAAAAAGUUGAGCUAGGACAAGGGAUCUUAGAAUCCGACGUCGAAAAGUUGAGCUAAGAAAUUCGGGCAGAGGCAAUUCAACGUGGGAAACAAGUCAAAGUGGUUGAACCUGAGACCGAACCACUUUUUGAAAAAAAGAAGCAGAAGACAACCUCGGUGAACCAGAAAGGAUGGAAAACCGAACCAUUCGUCAACUAGCCACAUAAGCAACUAUUCCUUUUAAAAAAUUUAAAUAUUCCUUUUAACUUUUUAUUUUUGUUGACAUGGCAGCUGACAUGGUAUUUCCACAUAAGCAACUAUCGCUAACAUGAAGCACCACGUUAGCGCCGUUAAUGGCCACGUCAAUGUUGUAACGGUCAAUAUUAGUCAAAGGGCCUAUUUGGCCAAUUUUGUUAGUUCAGGGGCUCAAUUGGGUGCAAAAAGUUCGUAGGGGCUUAAUUGAUUUUUUUUGAAAAAGUUCGAGGACCAAAAAUACCAUUAAACCCUUCUUUAACUAUUGAUAUUUCUUUUUCUAAGAAUCAGUCAACAUUAGUUAAAAGGCCUAUUUUGUCAGUUUUGUUAGAUUAAGGGCUCAGUUGGGUGCAAAAAGUCUGCAAGGGCUUAAUUGAUUUUUUUGAAAAAGUUCAACGAUCAAAAAUACCUUUAAGCCCUACUUUAACUAUUGAUAUGUCUUUUUUAAUUAAUUUUACAUUAGUGCAUAGUACAGGCACACUAUGUACGAGGUGUUUCCACAUAUACAUGUGAAGUGUAUUUUGAUACCACGGAGGAAUUAGAUGAAAAUGUGACUAUUAAGGUAGUAGUGUCACCUUCUAGUAAUUGCAAAGAAUUAUAAUUUUUUAGAUGCAUUUGGCUAGUAGAGUGUAAUUAUAUUGUAAUUCUUUGUGCCUUGUUUAGUAAUAUAAAUUGUAAUUACACAUUUACAAAUUUUAAAUUUUUUAAAAAGUAUUAAUUACUAUAAAUAGUUAUCAAUAAUACUUGAGAAAAAAUUUUAAAUAGGUGACAUAAAUUAAAAUCAAAUCAUGUUAUGUUAGUCCAAAAAAGUAACCGACAACACGAUUAUAUGCAACUUUAUUAUUGCUCUAGCAUUCCAUGUUUGUUGGGUUAUUCUUUUUCUAACAUUUAACAUAUACUUCUUAUCAUCAUCUAUUUGUUCUUGACCAAUUUCUUCAUUGUUGAUACAAGGUACAACAAUGGAGGGGAGUAAGGAGGAGAUAAGGUGGAGUGAGUGGUGGUUUUGUGGAGGCCAGUUCACUUAAAGAGGCAGAGAGCUAGAAAGGAAUAAGAGGACAAGCUGAUUGCUGAAAGAAAAGAUGGUUGUUCAGAGUAACUUUAAGGGUUGGAAAAUCGAUCCAUUCUUCAUCGUUGGAAAGGUAUUUAUAAAAGAGGCCCUCUUGUCCAUUAGCAUGAUGUGGCAAGAUAAAUGCUCAGCCCCACCAAAUGUGUAUAUUCACGAACAUGAAGGAUAUUCAUGAUGGGCCCUAUUCUAUUAUCCAUUCGAUCAGUACAAUGUUGUUACGCUCAUGCAAGUCCUAAUGGCCUCAAGGAUGUGUUCACACCAAAAAAAGGGGUGCCUAACCUUUCUAAAGGGUUGGUGCUCCUUUGAUCUUAGUGGAUGGUCCGGCGAGACAUCUUCUCAGGCAGACUCAAUGAGUGGGUUAAUGUUGUCUAUACUGUUGACACGUGUCCAUGUGGCGGGGGUAUAACAUUCAUCAUCUAAAUCAAAAUCUGAAUAUGCAUCAUUAAGAUUAUCUAGAUCAUUUUUUUAUCUGUAUCAUUAAGAUUAUCAAUAUCUGCUUUUUUUUUCAUGUACUGUUUAAAAGUAUUGAUAAUUCCAAUUCCACCUAUAAAUGGAAUUGUGAAAUAUACAACAAGUUAGAACGAUUGAACAUUGUUUUUCAGACUAUAUUGAUGUGGUUUGUUAAUAUGGGAAAUAUUUUUUUAGAACAACAAAUAUCCUCUCAACCACAUUUCAAAACUUUGAAUAAAGAGUUUACGAGCCGUGUUUGGUACUUGUGUCUAGCUCUGUUCUUUCAAAUGAUAUUGUACCCCGUGAUAUACUGUAAAAAAACCUUUUGCAUUUGCAUAAUCAACAUCUACCGCAUAAUAUUUCCUAAAAAACAUGUAACAAUUUAAAUAAUUUGUGAGAAAAAUAAAAUAACAGCAAGGUGAUGAUAAUAUUAAUGUAUUUAUGAAAUACAAUUUUGAUCUAUUUUCUCUCCCAAACAUCAUUCUUAGCAUUCUAGUAUUUGAGGCACAAAUCAACUUUAUAAUCCUUCAAUUAUAAUAGUUUUUAUAAAUCCAAUUUGCAGUUUACUAUGUGUUCAAAUAAUAAACCAAAUUAGAUAAAAGAAAUAAUAUAAAUUUUAUAAUAUAAUUGUUAUACCUAAUUUUAGCUCGGGCUCACAUAUGGAAACAUAUUUUUUGAGGAUAUGCAAUCUUAUAUAUGAUAUGCAAUCCUAGAUAUGAUAUAUGCAAUCUUAGAUAUGAUAUGCAAUCUUAGAUAUGAUGUAUAAUCUUAGAUAUGAUAUGCAAUCUUAGAAGAUAUGAUUUUGAAAUCUUAGAGAUACCCUUUAAUCUCAGCCGUUGAUGUAAUUGAUCUGUACCGUUGGAUUUGGGGAGGCUCAACUAUAAAUAGAGGCCUCUCCCUUCAUUGCAUGAGGAGAAAAAAAGAGGAAAGGGAGGAAUAAAAAAAGAGAACGAUUGACAGUUUUUUAAAGGUGGCUUACUAUUUUUUUCGUUUGAUUAUUUUGUACUUAUUUACAAUUUUAAAAAAGGAGAAGGUGAUACCACUACGAAUUUUAUUUAUUUAUUUUUUAUUUAGCCCCUCCGCCUUUUAAUGUCUUUAUAAUUAGGUUUUUUUUAUUUUUUUAAAAAUUUUGCCCUUUAAUUUAUUUUAAUUUCAAUUUAACCCUUCUUGAACGACACCGUUUUAGAGGAGAAGGGAAAAUUUCCCUUCCAGCCCCUUUAUGUAAUUCGCGUAUUCAAUUUAGUCCUCCAGACUUUAUUUAUUUGCGAAAUUACCCCAUAUUUUUUAUUUGUAAUCCAAUUUAGCCUUUUUUUCAUAUUUUCUUCAAAAAUCAAUAUUUUUUUGAUGAUGCAAUUGUUCUUAUCUUAUAAUUCUUAUCUGUAAUUAUUAUUAUAUUGUAUAUAUGUUUUUUAAAAAAACAUGUAGUUAUGCCUUUUUUUAAUUAGUAUUUUUUUCGCGUACUUAUAUAUAUAUAUAUACUUGUUUUAUUUAUUUAAUUAUCUUUGAUAUUAUUUAUUUCAAACCUAUGUAUUUUUAUGUGCACUUGUAUGUAUUUUUUGUUAUUUAUUUUAAUUAUUCGCUUAUUAAUUUAUGUUUGCAUAUUUUCUGCUCAUUUAUUUAAUAUCUUUUGCAUGUCAUUAUUUAUAUUCAAUUGUUUGUAUUAUUUCCAUGCUAUUAUUGUACUUGUUAUCAUUGUUAUUAUGACAUUUGCGCAUAUAAAAUAAUGUUACAUUAUUUUUUAGAAAAAACUCAAAUUUAAAAAUAUAAUUUUCAAAAUUGAGAUAAUACUCGUAUUUAGGAUUGCUCAAGGAAAUUGAGCCCUAACGUAUUGGGUUCCGAUUUUUUUGAAAAUCUAACAAUCGAGGAUUGCUCUUUAAACCAACUAAAAACUCAUUAUUGGGAAUUCAACACGUUGUGUCCUAACGUAUUGGAUGUGACGCAUUGAUUUCUCGAUGUAGAUUUUUUAAAAAUCAUAAAGGAAAUAUUCCGAGUUUGGGAUUUUUAAAGGAAUCGUGCCCUAACAUAUUGGGUGUGAUUUCUUAAAUCUUGGAUAAGUGGAUGUUCUUUUAAAGUAAAGGAAAUAUUCCGAGUUUGGGAUUCUAAAGGGAUCGUACCCUAACGUAUUGGGUGUGAUUUCUUAAAUCUUGGAUAAGUGGAUGUUCUUUUCAAGUUUUAUUGUACAAGUAUUUUGGCCCAAUUCAUUUUUGGGGGAAAAUUAGAAUGCUGUGCCCUAACGCAUUAGGUGUGGUAUCUUCUUUCUCUGAAAUAAAAAGGGUCUUAAUACGUAGCCUUUUAAGUUUUGCUAAGGAUUACGUUUUUCCAAAUUCUCGACCUUAAGAUACUAAUUAAUUAACCAGGUACAAAUUUUGGGCGUUACGAGGGUGUUAAUCCUUCCUCGAACGUAACUGACACCCGGAUCCGUUUUUCUAAAACUUGUAGACCAAAGCCGUUUUUUAGGUGAUCCAAUCACACCUCAAUAAAAGAUUGGUGGCGACUCCCAAAUUUUCAUUUUUUUUAAAGUCGACAACCUAAAAUUUUUGUUUUUCAAAAAAAUAGUUUCGACAAUAACAUUUAUAAACAAUGUUUUCUAUAAAGUGUUGAAUAGCUUUUACGGUGCUUAUGUUAAAGUGCUCAAAUAUGUGGCCAUACAAGAAUAGUAUAAAAAUUAUAAUACAUGCUUUAUAAGCGCAAUUGGUUAGGUUAAAAUUUGCUUUAUAAAACACAGGAGUUGAGUGAGAUGAAAAGGGUUUCCUACCUUAAUCAGUAAUCGAGGGUUUAAUCCUCGCCUAAGUAUGGAGUAGCUUUAAAACUUGUGGCCAGCAUCUACCCCCUUAAUGGGCCUACAAAAUGCGAAGGAUUAGUUACCGGGCGCGCUUCGGUAGAUACAUUGAGGAAUCAAAAAAAAAAAUUACACCAAAUAUUUUGACUUAUGUGUCUAAUAACAAAGCAGUUUUGACCCGAUAAGAAAUAUAUAAUUUUAUUUUAAAAAAUAUAUAAAAUAUAUGUCAUAAAAUUAAAAUUUUUUAUUAUUAUUGUAUUAAAAUAAAUUUUAUAAACUUCUAUAAAAAAUAAUUUCUUAAAUCAUGUACGUGUGUUUGAAAGACUAUAAGAUAAUUAGUAAUUGAUUGUAAUUACUCACGUAAUUACCUCAACUCUCAACUCCCUAAGAAUUGAAUAGUAUAAUUGAGGUGCUAUUAUAUUCAAUUUAGUGGACCCAACAAUUACAAUAGUUAGCCAAACAUACUAUUCCUUUGUACUUGCAAGUAAUUACACUUAAAUCUAAUAAUUAAUUCACAUUAAAUUUUUCAAAAUCAUACACUUUGGGGUCGAAAUUAAACUGAUUUUUUUUUAGUUUCCAAACAAUUGCAAAGAAAAUUCAUGAAAUUAAGUUGUUUUCAAAUAAUUAAUUCACAUUGGAAUUUUCAAAUAAGAUAUCACAUUACUAAUACUUCAAUCAUUAAAAUAUUAUAUAAGACAUUUUGCCUUAUACAGCAAAAUAUGAAAAUACUAAAACUUAAUCCAGUUUAAUCAUUCUAAAGUUUCUAAUUUUGUUUAAAAGUAUUUUCAAAUAUAUAUGAUUUUAAAUUUGUAUAUUUUAACAUGAAAUUCAUUAUAUUGUAGUAAGAUUUUAAUGUAAUAUGUUUAAUUUUUUUAAUUUAAUUCAAACAAUUUCACUCGAUUCAGCUCGACUCGAAUUUUAUUUCACUCAACUCAAUUUGAAAAAAAAAUUCUAAAUUGAAUUAAGAUGAUAAAAUAAGACUUGUCAACUCGAUUAACUCAAAAUUAUUUUACUCAAUCACCGCUAGCAAUUGCAUCCUUGAUACUAAUAACAACAUAAAAAUGUAUACUCAUCUUUUCAAAUUAAUAUGCAGCCACGAAAUGGAAAUUUCCAUGAAAAAAAAACUAUUGCAUAUGAAAAAGUAAGUUCCAUGACAUCGACUGAAGCAAUAACAACAAUUGCAAAAAGACAUUGACUCCUAUAGAAAUCCAUCAGUUUGGAAACUAUAACGUAUAUGCUACAACUGGGUUUUUUUCGUGUGUCACCCGUUAGGAUUUGAAUUAUGUUGGUAAUAAAUAUAAUCUAUUUUAAUUAAAAAAUGAGUAGAAUUUAGUAAUUUAUUAUGACCCAAAUUAUUGGUAAAGUUAAAAUUAAUUUUUUUUCGAACAAAAACUUUCGGUGCUCAGUACUUAUGUGUAAUUCAAUCUUCUCAUCAUAUAUUCCGAAUAAGCUAAAAGGUAUGGCAUGGUGUCUACCUUUGCUCAUCCAUGUCAGACUUGCAACUCCUUGUAUUCACCUUGAUUGUCGGCCUUCACUAAGGACUUAUAGUUAUACAAGUCAAGAGCAAAAAGAUAUGUCCCCUAAUAUCACUUUGGGUGAUGAGUCCUUUCUGAACCAUUCCAUCACCUUCAUAUGUCAUACCAUACCUAAAACAUUCUACUUUCAACAUCUAUCAAUGCGAAUCCAUUUGGUGAUGAAUCAAAGUAUGACGGUCAACAUACAAGUUUGUGUCUUAAGUCUAAGGAUCAUUUACACUACCAAUACAUGGGAGUAUUUCUAUAAACAUUUGAGUGAAAUACCAAAUGGAACUCUCAUAAUAGGCCAAGUUAUAUUUUAUAAUUUUUUCGAACUUUUUAAAAUCAUUAAUAUUUUAUUUUUUAUAUUUGUAAUACAAUAAUUUUAUAAUUUUUUUAUAACUUUUACAUUUUAAAAAUAUUUUAAUAACUUGAACAUCAAUAUAUACUUCCACACGGCAUGUCACAUGUCAACUUGCCAUAGCUUCCGUCAACUAAUCAACAACCAAUAUUGAUAAAAUCAGUCAACAACAAUUUUCGUUAUUGAAAAGAGCCAAUUGAUUUUUUUCCAUUGAAUCCUCAAUUGGGUCUGUUUUUCUAUUAUGAGCUUAAUUAAUUUUUAACUUUUUAUUAAGUUGUUUUUCCUUUAACCUUAUAUUAAUAUUCAUUACUUUAUUAAAAAAAACUUACUUUUAGGUAAUUUUUCCAACCAAAAUGAUAUCAAAUUAACUCGUAACAUAAAUUCAAUAAAAUAUAUUAUAUAAACAUAUACAUAAAUUCAUUAAAACCUGUCAAUAGUGAAAACACCAUUAAUUUGUCUGAAGUCUCUACUUUUGGGAUCUUAAUGGGGGAGAAAAUUUUUAGAUAGAAACUGAAUACGAUAUAUAAAGUAAAUGCCACGUUAAAAGCUCAGUUCUUUGGAAAAUAAAUUCCAUCACGACUGAACCAAAAAUUCCCUUGUGUCAUAAUCUUUUGUGGAAAAUUAGGCACAUAAUGGAAAAGUAUAUCCACAAAAUGAUAGAAAAAGGCUUUGGGCCACAAUUAAAUCAACAUCUUUAAAUUGUUAAAUCAAAUUAAAGAUGGAAUCGUCGUUGUCAUGGGAUCCACACGGGGUGUACGUAUAAUGAAUUUCCCAUGUUUUUUGCAUGAAACUUUUGAUUCAAUGAGAAAGGAAAUAUUUUCAAAAUCAUGCAGCUUCGGAUUCUAAUUAAGCUUAUUUUUUUCCAAGCAAUUGCAAAGAUUUGUUUCGACAACAAAUAAUAAUCGGAUAAAAGUGUAAUUAUUAAAUAGUAAUUACAAAAGAUUUAUAAUUACAAAAUUAGAUCGUAAUUUUCUAUAUCAUAUUUCGUAGUACAAAUUGUAAAUUAUAAUUAUAAUUACAUAGUUACUUAAUAUAUUUUUUUAAAAUAUUAAUUACUAUAAUAAAUUAUCAGUAAAAUUAAAAAAUUUCUAAACAAGUAACAAAAAUUAAAAUAAAAUCAUCAUAUUUAAUAUGUUAGCCCAAGAAACUAAUCGAUAAUGAUUACUAAUAAAAUUAUAAGAAAAAUGAUUUAUUUUAGGUUAUAACAAAUAUAUAUUUUUUUUUUGAACAAUGAGAUUUGAACCUAAGCAAUUCCUUGGAAAGAUGAAUACUCGACCAAUAGACUACAACUUAAAGUUUUUUAGAAUAUUAUAACCAUUUUUAUAAUUCAUGAAUUAGGUUAAAAUAGUAUAAAAUUUUAAUAUAUAACAAUUAUAAAAAAAUUAUAAAGUGUCCAAUAACUUCCAAAACACUUCUUAUAAAUAAUAUUUUUUUAUCUUUUUUUUUUUAAAUAAGUCAUGGCAAAAAAUUAUAAUUGUUUAUAAAUAAAUAUUAUUUUCUAUAACAUAUAGUAUAGACACAUAAGUAAGUUAUAUUUAAAUUUUUUGACCAUAACUUUUUUAUAAGUAAGUAUGUAGUACACUUUUUAUAAAACAUAAAUUAUUUUUAUAAUAUACUUUUGGCCUAUAACUUUAGAAACUUUUUAGGAUUUAAAUAAUAUAAUUCUUGUCAUAACUUUAUAAAAUAUUAAAAAUAUAUAAUAGUAAUUUUUAGAACUUAUAAUAUGAUUUUAGAAAUUUUUAUUCAUAAUCAUCCUAAACACGUAUGCGUAUUUAUGUUUAUAAAAUAAUUUUUUAACUUAAAUUUGUAUAAAAAAUAUUUUUUAAAGUUAAAUUAUGUAUGAAUUUUCCGUGAGAAAUUAAUAUAUCGGGAAACAUGCGUUGACAUAUACUUUUGAUAAAUUCAAAUCAGGAGGUAUCAUAAUUAUCAAGAAAUAUGGACCAUAGGAACAGCAAAGAUUCAAUCCUAUAAUAUAGUAUUUGCAUUAUUGAUACUAAACAUAGAAAUUCCAUGAAGAAGAAAGCAUUGCGCAUGAUGAAUUAAGUUCCAUGACAAGGACUAAAACAAUGACGAUAACUUGCCCCUACAACUAUUGCAACAAGAGCUUGAAUCCUUUGAUGAGUUCCUUUAAAUUCAUCGUUUGGAAACCAUAACAUAUAUGCUACCACUAAAUACUUACCAGAUUAAACAAUGGCCUCAUCCCUAACCAUUUCUGUUAUUCUAGGGGUACUGUGGGCUGCCAUCCUUCUUUCCUUUGCUACAACUGUAACAGCAGCAUAUCCAUCGCCAUUGGAGUCCGAAGCCAUAGCUCUGCUAGAAAGCAGGUGGUGGAGUAACCAUAGCAGCAAUACUUCACAACGUUGCCAGUGGCCUGGUAUAACCUGCAACACUGCUGAAAGCAUCACCAAAAUUAACUUAUCUGAUGCGCCCAACAUUGAGGUUGGAGAUAGAUUUGGGAAACUGAAUUUCUCUUCAUUUCCAAAUCUUGUCCUUCUUGAUCUUAGUGACCAUCAACUUAGAGGAAAAAUCCCGCAUCAGAUAGGUGAUCUAUCAGCAUUGAAGUACCUUGACUUGUCUUAUUGUGGUUUAUCUGGUGAGUUACCUCCUUCUCUAGGGAAGCUGACCCAAUUAGAAUUCCUCGACAUUUCCUAUAAUGAUAAUAUUAAUGGUUCCAUCCCUCCACAAUUGGGGAAUCUAGAGAACCUUGUGACUUUAAACUUAAGUCAAUGUGGAAUUGUUGGUCCAAUCCCUUCUGCUUUGGGUCAAUUAACCAGUCUCCAAUCUCUGAUCCUUUGGGGGAACCAAAUCAAUGGAUCUAUCCCAUUAGAAAUUGGAUAUUUGAGAAAUUUGACUUAUUUGAGUCUCUCCAACAAUAGAAUUGUUGGUCCAAUCCCUUCUGCUUUGGGUCAAUUAACCAGUCUCCAAUCUCUGAUCCUUUGGGGGAACCAAAUCAAUGGAUCUAUCCCAUUCGAAAUUGGAUAUUUGAGAAAUUUGACUUAUUUGAGUCUCUCCAAGAAUAGAAUUGUUGGUCGAAUCCCUUCUGCUUUGGGUCAAUUAACCAGUCUCCAAUCUCUGAUCCUUUCGGGGAACCAAAUCAAUGGAUCUAUCCCAUUAGAAAUUGGAUAUUUGAGAAAUUUGACUGAUUUGAGUCUCUCCAGCAAUGGAAUUGUUGGUCCAAUCCCUUCUGCUUUGGGUCAAUUAACCAGUCUCCAAUCUCUGAGCCUUUCGGGGAACCAAAUCAAUGGAUCUAUCCCAUUAGAAAUUGGAUAUUUAAGAAAUCUGACUUUUUUGGGUCUCUACAACAAUAGACUUGUCGAUUCAAUACCCAUUACUCUGUACCAAUUAACCAAUUUGGAAAUUUUGUACCUUGAUAAUAACCAACUUCAAGGUUCUAUUCCCCAAGAAAUUUGUAAUCUAGCAAAUUUAACUUCAUUGUACCUCUCCCAAAACAAAUUGACUGGUUCAAUCCCUUCUUGUGUUGGUAGUUUAUCAAAGAUGCAGGACUUAGCCCUUGGUUCUAAUCUAUUAAAAGGUCCUAUUCCCCAAGAAAUUUGUAAUCUAGCAAAUUUAACUUCAUUGGCCCUCUCCCAAAACAAAUUGAGUGGUUCCAUCCCUUCUUGUGUUGGUAGUUUAUCAAAGAUGUGGUACUUAAGCCUUGAUUCUAAUCUAUUAAAAGGUUCUAUCCCAAAAGAUAUUGGCAAGCUUUUUGAUCUAUCAUAUCUAAACCUUAGCUUCAACCAACUCUCAGGUCCUAUCCCUAUCUUGUAUGCUACUGAUCUCUACAUUGUCGACGCUGGAAAUGGUUGUAACAAGAUUUCUCCCGAUCCAUUUGAAGGCAAUAGUGAUUUAUCACCCUAUAUGUGUCCUACUCCAGUAACCAAAAAAGCCAACAGCAGCAGAAUUCCUUACUAUAUCAAAAUAUUCCUCCCUAUUGCGAUCUUAUUCACAUUCUCCAUUUUAGGAUGUUUGCUAUUUUCACGGUUUAAGCUCAAGAAUAACCAUGUCAGCGUACAACCAACCAAGAAUGGGGAUUUGUGUUCCAUAUGGAACUAUGAUGGAAAGAUAGCAUACGAGGAUAUCGUUGCAGCAACAGAGGAUUUCGACUUCCGAUACUGUAUUGGAGUUGGUGGUUAUGGUAGUGUUUACAAAGCAAAACUCCCUUGUGGUAAAGUAGUUGCUUUGAAGAAACUUCAUCAUUUAGAAGCCGAAAAUCCAACUUUUGACAAGAGUUUCAGGAACGAGAUCAAGUUUCUAUCAGAAAUACGACAUCGAAACAUAGUGAAGCUUCAUGGGUUUUGUCUACACCGACGAUCCAUGUUUUUGAUCUAUGAAUACAUGGAAAAAGGGAGUUUGUUCUGCAACCUAAGGGAUGAAGUGAAUGCUGUGGAAAUGGAUUGGACGAGAAGAGUAGAGAUCAUCAAAGGCAUAGCACAUGCUUUGUCUUACUUGCACCAUGAUUGCUGCCCUCCGAUAGUUCAUCGAGACAUAUCAAGUAACAAUGUUCUUUUAAACUCAAGUUUUGAGGCAUUUGUGGCCGACUUUGGAACAGCUAGAAUGUUGGAUCUUGAUUCAUCCAAUCAGACCAUUAUUGUCGGAA
rnacentral:lncRNA from 1 species